rnacentral:rRNA from 1 species
UACGUAGGGAGCAAGCGUUGUCCGGAAUCAUUGGGCGUAAAGCGCGCGUAGGUGGCUUCGUAAGUCCGUUGUGAAAGUCAAAGGCUCAACCUUUGAAAGCCGAUGGAUACUGCGGAGCUAGAGUACGGAAGAGGCGAGUGGAAUUCCUGGUGUAGCGGUGAAAUGCGCAGAUAUCAGGAGGAACACCGAUUGCGAAGGCAGCUCGCUGGGACGUUACUGACGCUGAGACGCGAAAGCGUGGGGAGCAAACAGG